UAAUGACAACAAAAAUAGUUAGAUGUAAUUACUCGCUAUUUUUAUAAAAUUAAGUGUAGCUUGCCCCUGCUCUAUUCUAGGUAUAUUCUAACUAAAUAAUUGACAUUGGCCCUCUGAAGUCAAAGUGCCCUUCCAUCUGGGGAGGCUGGAUAAACCUAACAUCAGCUUGGUCUCCUGCCUUCCUUUUCUUAGGUCUAAGGCAGACUUCCAGCCCUCCUUCUGUUAUGACAGCACAACAAAAAUCUGAGGCAUUUGGCAAUAUCACUGACAAGACUGCAGUUUUGUUUUUGUUUUUGUGUUUGAGAAACCCAGUGACUUUCUUAACUGGACUAAGAGACAAUGGCUCUAUUUUGGACAUGUUUAUAAAUGACUUCAAAUGAGUCAUUUCUGCAGAUGCAGUCUUAUUCACUUUCCAUCAGUUUUAGUAUCAGAAGCUAACCUUUCCUUAACUUCAUCCCUAAAUUUCGGAGCUAUCUCCUGUUUGGAACCUUAAUGAAUUACUGCACUGUUCCAUGCAAUGUUUCAGCAUCUCUGUAUGCAGGCCUUAGUCUGUGACCUGUGACAGGGCCUUCCUGUCUCAGUCAGGUGCCCAGAUGUAAAGUGAUCUUUGCUAACAAAGUUUUCAUUGAUUAGCAGUUGUGAUUAAAAAAGGGAACCCAGGGCACUGGGCUGGCUCAGUUAGUAGAGCGUGUGACUCUUGAUCUCGGGGUUGUAAGUUUGAGCCCCAAACUGGGUGUAGAGAUUACUUAAAAAAAUAAAAUCCAUAUAAAUAAAUAAAUAAAUAAAUAAAGAUAACCCUUCCCUAAUGAAUGUAUGGAUUUAAGAGUACAGUACUCCUGUCCAUAUGGAGGUAAGAAUAAUAGAAAUGUAAAUGGGUUUUAUGUCGUCUCAAGAGGGAAAGGAUGAAGUCUCUGGAAGUACUGGAGGUAUAACGGUGAGAGAAGAAGAUGGAUAAAAUGAAAUGUAGAAGUUACUUAAAGAGACACUUGGGGAAAAUUCCAGAAAAAUGGAAAACUAGAGCAGGGAUAGGAGGUUGGAAGGAUAUGCUAGUGGAGUCCGUGGGAGAAGUACAUUAGCCUUAUAGAGAUAAGUAUCCAGAAAAGGCUCGGAAAGAGGAAAUAGCAGCUUAAACCACUUCCUCUGAACAGACCGAAGGGAUCUUGAGAUGGGAAAUUUGAUGAAGAGAGUUAGAAAGGAAUCCACAGUCAACUGCUCAAGCAGUAUCUGGAGGUUGCAGAGAGAAAGUGGUGUUUAGCUGGGACCAAGGACAACGCAUGGUGGCUAGAACUGAGCUUAAUGACCACCUGACCUGACAGUGAAAUUUGAGUAACAAUCUGUUAAAAUUGGGUUUAGUGAGUUAAAAAUCAUUAAGCUGUUUUAAGAAGCCAGACUGUAUUCCUGUCACUCGGGAUAAUUUGUAUCCUGCAAUCUCCUCACUUCAGAACAAAGCCUUGUUGAAACCUAAGUGACUAACUGGGCUGAGACAGCAAGACCCAGAAAGGAGAAGAAACCAGAAACAAACAAACAUACAAAUAAAUCAGACAAGGACAAGGCCACGGUGUGCAUGGUGGAGGAUCAUGUUACCAUUUAGGUUUGGCAAGCAAUGGUAAUAAGAAGAGAAUUUCCUAAACAUACACUUGGAGCUGGAAAUGAAGGCAGAAUUUGAUAUUUGCACAUAUAAGCCUGAGGGAGCAGGGGGAUGAACCACAUCUCAGCCCAAGGGCUCAGGACGGCAGCAGCAUGAGGUUAAUUCUGGAAUCACAGGCUGUUUGCUUGAGAACUUUCACUGAUCAUCUCUUCUGGGUGGGAGCUCCCACUGAUUGCAUCUACAGAAUGACAGAUGAGAAUUAGGCUUUCUAUUUGGGAGGUAGGUAUUUUGAGCACAACUGAGCAUGAUAUAGGUAGGGUGGAUUAGGUUGAAACGAACCCCAGUCUGACAAAGCCCUUAAAAUACACACACACACACACACAUGCUCAAUAACAAAGGCAGUAUCCACCCUCAAGAUCAAGGUAGUUCUUUUCUGGCAGUAGCAGCCGUGGCGUGAUAAUUAAAGUAAUUAAGGCUAUGGACUCUGAGCUUAAAUCCCGGCUGCAUCAGCCACUAGCUGUGCAACCUUGACAAGUGAUUUGCUCUCCCCAGAUUUUGGUUUCCUCUAAUGUUACAUAGGGGUUAAUCGUCACAGCUAACAUUUGUCAAGUAUAUGCCAUGCACAG